UGAUUAUUCUGGUGAUGAGAGUGAAACUGAAAUUGCGAUCGGAAACUUCAGGUGUUCCGUGGACGGAGGAAGAGCACAAGCUGUUCCUGGUUGGAUUGACUCGUCAAGUACGGAAGCUCCGAUUCCGCCUCGAGUCCAACUCAAUUAGCUCGAUCGAAGAAGAUGUGUAGCACCUUUGCCGCCGCCGCAGACUCUUCCAUCUCCGGCGACGGUGACUCCCCCACUGCCGUCAAGAUUAUGCUAUUCGGCAUUAGGGUGGUGGUGGACUCCAUGAGGAAAAGCGUCAGUAUGAACAAUCUGUCGCAGUACGUGCAUCCUCAAGAUGACUCCAACAACAACAAAGACGCUGCCUUCUCCACCACCGGUUACGCGUCUACCGAUGACGCUGCUCCUCACAACUUCGGCAAGAACCGCGAGCGCGAGCGCAAGCGAGGUGUUCAGUGGACGGAGGAAGAGCACAAGCUAUUCCUGGUGGGAUUGCAGAAGGUAAGGAAAGGUGAUUGGAGAGGGAUCUCUAGGAACUACGUCAAGACUCGGACGCCCACGCAGGUCGCCAGCCAUGCUCAGAAGUACUUCCUCCGCCGGAGCAAUCU
rnacentral:lncRNA from 1 species